UGUUUGAGAUAUAAAGAGUCUAACCUGCCCCCUGGUGGCUAAUAAUUACUAAAGGGCCGCGGUAUUAUAACCGUGCAAAGGUAGCAUAAUCAUUAGGUUUUUAAUUGAAAUCUUGUAUGAAUGGUUGAACAAGAAAAAAACUGUCUUUAUAUUAAAUUUGAAUUUAACUUUUAAGUGAAAAGGCUUAAAUGUUCUAAGGGGACGAUAAGACCCUAUAAAGUUUUACAUUGUUAUUAAAUUUAAUUAAAUUUAUUAUAAUAAGAAUUUGAUUUAAUUAUUUGUUGUGUUGGGGAGACAAAGGUAAAAUUAAUUUUAACUACUUAAUGAUUGAACAUUAAUUAAUGGUGGAUAAUAGAUCCUUUAUAGAGAUUUAAGAUUAAAUUACUUUAGGGAUAACAGCGUCAUUUCUUUUGAGAGUUCCUAUCGAAAAAGAAGUUUGCGACCUCGAUGUUGAAUUAAAAUAUCUAUAUAAUGUAGCAGUUAUAUAAGAAAGUCUGUUCGACUUUUAA
rnacentral:rRNA from 1 species